GAAAACAACAGUUUCGAUCCCAGGAUCAUGAUGCAACUUUGAGAUUAAAUUAGCCGUUGACAUUUUGAUACCAAAUCCAAACAGAUUGUGUUAACCAUAAUUCCUAUGUGGCAAUUAAGCUAUAAGCUCUUCAUUUAGUUUUUACAUUUGAAAGCUUUUGAGGGUAAAGUCAAAUUUCCAGCGCCAAAUCAGUACACAGAUGGACAUUGAGUUUUUUAAGAUGCAACUCGCUUUCGUGUCAUUUUUUGUUGCAUUUAACCAGGCUUGAGCUAACCAAUCACCAUUGUUUAAUUUUGAUUGAUUUGAAAAAAUAGCUCGCAAAGAUGUUACAAUUAAAUCCAGCUCUGGAAGAAUCCCAAUGUGACAUUGAGUCUUGGUACAUUUGUGCCUUGAAAUCUCACUUUGAAUGGAAUGCUUAGUCACAGAUUUUGCUCAAGUAAACCGAGAUCAAAUGACGUCAAAAAACCGUUGGACUUGUGACUCUGCUGUGAAAAGUCUUGGUCAGGAGACAAUGAUUAUGGCAUCUCCACCAGUUAUUAGUCAAUGACUAUGAGCAAAGGUCAUGGAUAACACUAGAACACUUGAAUAACCCUUUGCAUGAAUAAUUCCGAUCCUGGAUUAAAUUUUGAAAAAAGACCAAUUUUUAUGCUGAACAAUUAAAUUGUCGGUUUAUUUAAGGGAAAUAAGCUCUCAAGAACAUUACAAUUUUUUUCAUUUAACAAAGCUGGACAACAUUAACCGCUUAUAAAUACGGUUUUCAUAUGAGUUUCUAGUUGAAAUGAGAUAGGCAUUUUAAAGAUUUUACAAGAAUUAAUGAUGAACAAAAUCAGAUUUACAGCAAUUAUUAUAAGAGUCAGAGAUUAACUUAUAAGAAUAAGAGGUAGAAAUAAUAGUGAUAGUGAUUAUCAGCUGCAUUCCACGAAUUAUAAUUUACAAGAAAAUCUCACUUCAGAGUACAAAAUUAAAACUGGAUCAAGUUAGGAACAUGAAAAUGAAAAGCAGAAGGUAAAGUAUGCAAAGAAACAAUAGAAACUAUAUGAAAAACACAAGUCCAUUAAAAGGUAAUUUUAACGGUACUGGAUGAAAGUUUCCUGAGUGGUCACUUCAACCUUAGUCGUUCGAGUACAGACAACCAUACCAGACUGGUUUCCUCUUGGCGCUUGUCCUCUGGAAACAACACUUCUAGAGGUAGAUUGCUGAGCUCUUGGAGGUCCUUGAAUCUCUCGGACAUAACCGCUAUAGUAGGUCUUCUUUGGAGGCAUGUUAAAGAGUAAUAGUUUUCUGAUUAAAAUCAAAAAAACACUUAAGAGAAAGGAAACUGAAUUGAACAAAAUUAAUUAACACUGAACGACAGGGCACUCAACAAAGCGAGAGGGUUAAUGUUGCAGCCUCGCAAAUCGUUUGGCGAUUUUACUUUUAAACUUUCCGUUUCCAGGGUUUCUAAUUGGACAAGUGAAAUUGAAAAAUAAAUGACUGCCAUCUAUUAUUUAAAUAAUCCUUCAAAAUUUAAAUUGCACAAUUGCAUCAUAAGUCAAUCUUUUAACCGUUAAAAUCAUUGAAGUUUAAAGUUCAUUUGUUUGCUUCCAAACGAUAGGUUUGAGUUGUGUUUUAAUGUCUUUUGUUUAUUUAUUAAAGCUUAUCGAUUCUACCAUCAACGAUAUGUUUAAGUGUUUAUUAACAGAGUAUUUUAAAAUAAUGUUAAUUGACCAUCAGCUUUACUGGUAAUAAUGCUAAAAAUAUCAUCUUUACUUAUCAGAAAUUCAAUCCUGGUGUCAAGACAACAUUUAGGAGAUUUUUAAAGAUGAAUGCAUUAAGCAGUAUUACUCGAUUGGGUCCAGGUUAUCGAAAGCAGUUUGGUUUUACUCGAUUGCUUUACGUGUUCUCAAAAUAUCGAUGAUCUUGGCAAACCUAACAAUUUGGUCUCAAGUCUAUUACUACAUGUAGCUUUCAUAGGAUCAAAUAUUUAAUUCAUACAACUGGCACAAAGGUGCAUGAAAAGGUCAACUGUUGAUUCUUGGAAAGUUUGUAGAUUGGAAUACGUUUAAUAAUAAUUGUGCAUGGAGAGAAGCAGGUUACCAAAGAGCCAAAGACGUUAAUUAUAACCAGAUGCUGGACCAGGUUAAAUAUCUAAAGCGAAAGUCAAGGCAAAAGUGCAUUAUAAAGCCCAAAUGUGUCUGAUAAUUAGCAAUCAAAACAAUUGCCGUUGCAUAAAAAACGAUCAUACAAGCAUAAAAAGGAAUGGGAUCAAUAAAUAAAUGAGUAAAUUGUCACCAAUAUCAUUGAGCUAAUUCAAAUUUACACCGAAAGAGAAAAGGAAAGAAAAAAAGAAAGAAAGAAGCAUGAAAAAGCUGAAGCAAUAGCAGAAAUCAGCUAACAAAAACAGCUAAUCCAGUGCCAGCAGCAGCAGAAGUUUAGGUUAGAUGAUGAUGAUGAUGGUGAUCAACACAACAGCAACAUCAACAUGAACACACAUCAAGUCAUUUUCAUCUCUCUUUCAUCUUUCUUCUCUCACUUCUCUUUCUCCAUCUUCUCUUUCUUUUCUUGCUCCUGUGGACACUCGAGCAGAUGUUAAACUCUGCAACAUCUUAAACUCGAAUGAUCUCCAUCAAGGCCAUUUUAAGCUUAAGGAGCGUUCAAUCCAGCUAUACAUAUAUUCAUGGUUACACUUAUCCACACUUCUAAAGCACAAUUCUGAUCGGUCCCUGGCUAUUCUUCAUUAACAUCUAACCUAAAAAAUUUUCACCUUUUAUUUGAGCAGAAAUUUCAUAUUUUAAAUAUUGCCAAGUCAAUUGUGAAAGAUGUUUCAACCGUCUAAAUGUAAUUAAAACGGAAUAGCAGUUAAAGGCAUUGGAUAAUUAGAGUUGACAAAGAUGGAAAAACAUUGUCAAAGAUGCAAAGCAAAGACUAAGGCUACGCAAGACCUAACAAAGCUGACCAUAUGAUAUGAAGAAGUUUAAACCAACAAAGGUCAUUUUCAACGAAACAUUAGACUUGUUUCUUUUAAAAAGGUUUCUUGAACCAUUUAAACUUAAGACCAUAUGACCAUAAAGACGGCACAAGAAAUAAAGGAGAAGGAGUUUGCCAGUCAACAGAAUAAGCAAUGCAAGGAAAAGUUACCUUUUUUUCAAUCUUCAUCUUGCUUCUUCUCCCCUCCUAGGCCUUAAACAGAGACGACCGACAUCUGGAUAGCCACCCCACUCUUGCUCCUUCUGUUUUUAUCUUCUCUUUCUUUCUUUCUAUUUUCUGCCUCUUUUAUCUUCUUCUUAUCUUCCGUCUUCUAUCUUUCCCUCUCCGUCUCUCUCCUUAGGAUCUGCUUUUGGCGUAUUAUUUCGCUUUCAGAUGUGUUGUACUCAACCUACCAUCAACAUCAUACAUUUGUGCGUCUUCAUUUUUACCCGUAAUUAGUUCAAAUGGUUCAAAUGUCUUGCAAAAAGUUUUCAAAUCUUUCUCUUGCAGAAAUGAAAGUGUUUAUCAAAGGAUUUCGUUCAUGUGCCAAUGAAACUAUCAACUAUUUGAUUGAGGAUGAAGGAUUAUCUCCCGAAGAUCCGGUGGUUGUUAAUAUUCGUGAACACCUUAAAGUACAGGAAAAAAUGUACCUAUUCCAAUGGAUUGAAGCAUCUAUUCAAGAGGCUAAAAAGCAACGUCCACCGAAAGAUAAAAAAUUCAAAUCAACUAACAGUAGCAAAAAGAGAUUGAAACGUCUGAAAAGUGAAUUGUGAAAAAAGUGAACGCAUUUCAUUACCUUUCUUGUCAUUCAACAGCUAUUGUCAUCAAUCAAUUUUAAUCGUGUUACAUUUACCAUGUUACUGUUGUGCAUAUUAUAUAAUAUCAUCAAUUUCAAUGAAACAACUUUGCUUUUACUGUAAAAUUGUGUGUUAAUUUCAAUAGUUUUGGAGUUUCUUCAUCAGUAAACUUGAUUUUCUCUAGAAUCUUUUACUGACCACAUUGCAUAAGCUAAUUUGUAUACGAACUAGUCCAUAAAGUAAAAUAAAUGUAUCAUUUAGUAGAACCCAAGUUACAAGGGUAGCUUUUCGAA